UGUUUUACCUGGCAGGGGAGAUGCCAUGAUCACGAAGGUGGUUUUCCCAGGGCGAGGCUUAUCCAUUGCACUUCGGAUGUGCUGACCCCUGCGAUUUCCCCAAAUGUGGGAAACUCGACUGCAUCAUUUGUGGUAGUGGGGGACUGCGUUCGCACGCUCCCCUG
ensembl:snRNA U1 U1 spliceosomal RNA